rnacentral:rRNA from 2 species
GUGCGAGACCGAUAGCGAACAAGUACCGUGAGGAAAAGAUGAAAAGAACUUUGAAAAGAGAGUUAAAGAGUACCUGAAACUGCUGAAAGGGAAGCGAAUCGUAUCCAGUGUCUAUAAUCUGCGGCAUAUUUCAUUGGCGGCAGUGUGCGUGCUUUUGCGUCGGAAGCGGCUUUUGUUGCUCUGUGCUUUUGCUGUGCGUGCUGUUGCUGGUGCCCUGUGUUGCGGUGGGACGUCAGAGUCAGUUCGUAUGCUGCGGGAAAUGGCCGCCGAGGAGGUAGGUCAGGACUUCGGUCUUGGCUGUUAUAUCUUGGUGGUUUGUCGUCGUGGUUGGGACUGAGGUGCCUACAAUGUGCUUUUGAGUGUGCCGGGUUCUCAUUUGGUGGACUGUUUGGAUAGCUUGCUAUGCUUGUGGUUUUUUCAUCGAGUGAUUGAGUCUGGUGGUAACUUGUUGCUGUUCGGGACUUUGA